rnacentral:rRNA from 1 species
ACGGUAAGGACGUGGAGGAACAAGGGCUGGGCAAGACCGGUGCCAGCCGCCGCGGUAAUACCGGCAGCCCGAGUGAUGACCGAUCUUAUUGGGCCUAAAGCGUCCGUAGCCGGCCAUGCAAGUCCGUCGGGAAAUCACGCGCUCAACGCGUGGGCGUCCGGCGGAAACUGUAUGGCUUGGGGCCGGAAGACCCAGGGGGUACGUCCGGGGUAGGAGUGAAAUCCCGUAAUCCCGGACGGACCGCCGAUGGCGAAAGCACCCUGGGAAGACGGACCCGACGGUGAGGGACGAAAGCUGGGGUCUCGAACCGGAUUAGAUACCCGGGUAGUCCCAGCCGUAAACGAUGCUCGCUAGGUGUGGCCCCGGCUACGAGCCGGUGCUGUGCCGCAGGGAAGCCGCUAAGCGAGCCGCCUGGGAAGUACGUCCGCAAGGAUGAAACUUAAAGGAAUUGGCGGGGGAGCACUACAACCGGAGGAGCCUGCGGUUUAAUUGGACUCAACGCCGGAAACCUUACCAGCCCCGACAGUGGGAAUGACGACCAGGUUGAUGACCUUGUCCGACCCACUGAGAGGAGGUGCAUGGCCGCCGUCAGCUCGUACCGUGAGGCGUCCUGUUAAGUCAGGCAACGAGCGAGACCCGCACUCCUAAUUGCCAGCGACGGCGCGAGCCGGUCGGGUACAUUAGGAGGACUGCCGCCGCCAAGGCGGAGGAAGGAACGGGCAACGGUAGGUCAGUAUGCCCCGAAUGGGCUGGGCUACACGCGGGCUACAAUGGCCGAGACAAUGGGUUCCAACCCCGAGAGGGGACGGUAAUCUCCGAAACUCGGUCGUAGUUCGGAUUGAGGGCUGAAACCCGCCCUCAUGAAGCUGGAUUCGGUAGUAAUCGCGUGUCACCAGCGCGCGGUGAAUACGUCCCUGCUCCUUGCACACACCGCCCGUCAAAGCACCCGAGUGGGGUCCGGAUGAGGCCACAUUCGUGGUCGAAUCU